rnacentral:rRNA from 1 species
UGAGGAAUAUUGGUCAAUGGCCGAGAGGCUGAACCAGCCAAGUAGCGUGCAGGAUGACGGCCCUCGUGGUUGUAAACUGCUUUUAGUCGGGAAUAAAAGGGGGUUCGUGAACCCCGUAUUGUAUGUGCCGUCAGAAAAAGGACCGGCUAAUUCCGUGCCAGCAGCCGCAGUAAUACGGAAGGUCCGGGCGUUAUCCGGAUUUAUUGGGUUUAAAGGGAGCGUAGGCGGGCCGUUAAGUCAGUUGUGAAAGUGUGGGGAGCAAACAGG